GAGCAGUGCGAACAAGAAUAAAACAAAACAACAAAAUUGUAGGAGUUGUGUGCAGAAAAUUUAAUACAAAUAAACAUCAAAGAACAACGAAAACUUGCAGAAAAAGGCCAAAAAAGUGAAUUAAAAAUUCAUUAAAGUAAUAAAUAAAAAAUAAGCCAUAAAACUUCUAAAGCCGUCGGAAGUGUAGCAACAAAUUUGGAGUCAUCAAGCAAUAAAAAAAAUUUAAAAAAGCAAAUUAAUUGCAAAAACCAUAUAAUUCGAGCAGAUAAACAAACAUACGUACAUGCAUACAUACUAAAUUCGUUACAUAUAUUUUUUGUUGGCUCACUUUCCGCUUGCAACAUUAAUUUUGUUGCGAAUUUACCAAGGCUUUACAAGCGCUUAGCUUGCCACCAAUCAGCCGCAACAAGCAAGAAAAGCAAAAAAAAAAAGA